AGCGUUCUGAAUCCGUGAUGAGGUUUCGUCAGACACCGACCUAUUAGAGCUGAUCAGACUUCCAAGAUAAGUGAAGUU
rnacentral:pre_miRNA from 1 species